AGAGAAGGCGGGCGGCAGGCUUAACACAUGCAAGUCGAGCGGGCAUCUUCGGAUGUCAGCGGCAGACGGGUGAGUAACACGUGGGAACGUACCCUUCGGUUCGGAACAACUCUGGGAAACUGGAGCUAAUACCGGAUACGCCCUUAUGGGGAAAGGUUUACUGCCGAAGGAUCGGCCCGCGUCUGAUUAGCUAGUUGGUGGGGUAACGGCCUACCAAGGCGACGAUCAGUAGCUGGUCUGAGAGGAUGAUCAGCCACACUGGGACUGAGACACGGCCCAGACUCCUACGGGAGGCAGCAGUGGGGAAUAUUGGACAAUGGGCGCAAGCCUGAUCCAGCCAUGCCGCGUGAGUGAUGAAGGCCUUAGGGUUGUAAAGCUCUUUUGUCCGGGACGAUAAUGACGGUACCGGAAGAAUAAGCCCCGGCUAACUUCGUG
rnacentral:rRNA from 1 species